GCUUCUCAUCUGAAUGAACCCUUGCAGCAACUUCUUAGCUACAUUAACCGCUUCUAGUUGUAUCCUCUUUGUGUACACACACCCAGCUUGCUUCCAGCUUGAUUUUAUGUGGCAAUCAUAGCUGCUUGUUCUCAUCUUUGAAAUUACUCCUUGCUUUCUCUUGCCUAACCUGGGUUAACUCUCAAAUGCCUACGGAACUAAACUCAUAACAUAAACAUGGGAUUUGGGACUUGGAUAAGACCCUGCAGCCAAUACAAGGCUCUUAUUUUGCUAACCCAGCUGUAGGAAAUAAGACUCAAACUCUCAGCAUGGCCACUUAUGUCCUGGAUAUUUUUUCUUCUAACCCUUGAAGUUUCAGCUUAGCUAUUAUUCUCCUCAUUAGUUGGGCACAAUAUCCUUUGUUUUCCCAAAGCAUUCUGCAUGUACUCAUCCUGUCAUUUUACCAGACUAUCUGGCUGCCUAGUCUACAGCCCUGAGGACAAAAGCAUCGUCAGUGACAAGGAGAAGUCCUGCUGGGGAGUAAGAUUUUACCGAGACCCAGUUGAGGAGACAUGUGGGGAACUUGGAUCGUCUGAGACAAGCUGUCAAUGCCAGGCAAGCAGCGAUAUGCAGUAAGCAGGCUAAAGGAAGAGAGAGUGAGCCUUGGCUUACACUCUUUGCAGAUGUCUCUGAGGCAAAUGCUUCCACCAUGGCUAAUUUCAAGCUACCAAUGAUGAAAUGCCUGAAUAUUUAACAGUUGGCCUUCAGGGGUGGUACGAGCCAGCUCAAGCACAUCCUACCCAGUCAUUUUGGAAAGAUGAGGUCACUUCCUGUCAAUUUGUUACCAUAUGAGUGAUGAUGUGCCUUUCCAAAGUAGAGCUUGUGACCUUCAGUUCAGUCGCUCAGUCGUGUCUGACUCCUUGUGACUCCAUGGACUGCAGCACACCAGGCUUCCCUGUCCAUCACCAACUCCCGGAGUUUGCUCAGACUCAUGACCAUCGAGUUGGUGAUGUCAUCCACAGUGAUGUGACCUUACUGUCCUCUUUAUAUCUCUUAAGAGUAGUACAGUAUAAAUG
ensembl:lncRNA